UGCUAAUGUAAUUGUAACCUACGUUGUUGGAGAGAGAAAUAACAUCAUGGAAGAGACAUAAAGUACCUUGUUUACGAGAACCAUCACUUUAGCAUUUGGUGUGGUCUCCAGGUGUUUUUUGGCCACAUACACUGCAGCGCGGGUCUUUCCACCUCCAGUCGGUAACCAAAUUAUGACGUUCUCUCGUUUAAGAGCCCUUUCAACCACUUCCUGCUGGCACUGCAAGUUGGUGAGGUUUUAAACUCUGUUUGGACAGGCUGCGUCACGUGGAAAUUGGAAAACGAAACCUCUAUGUUCUCAGAACAGUGGGCCUCAUGAGGGAGU